CUGAUGAACCAGGCAACGGCAUAAUCCAGCUUGGAGAAGGAAAGCGGACCCCCCUGAUGGAGGAGAGCGUUAGGGUUAGAACCAAACGGAUGGAUUCAGGCCCAUCCUUGACGUUACCCAUAUUGCAUCAAUAGCUGGCCAAGGCAGGACCGAGACCUACCUGGAUGCCUUGCAGCUGGAUGUAGUCUGCGAUGAACCAGGCCAGACAGUGGCACAGGAAGAAGACCAUAACAUCCCAGUGGAAGAGGUGAUGCGCCGCCCAGCCGAUGAUGAGGCUCGCCACGAAGCACUCUGCGAUGGGCUCGCAGAUGGUGCCGGGGAGCAUGUUAAUCCGGAGCUUGGCCCACCUGAGAGAGCGAAAUGGGGAGAGUUGACACAACCCUGGGAAUGCCCAUGACCUCGAAGUCUGACCCAAUAUCUGGUUACCUCAAACUGCCACAGUUAUAUCAAAAACUCCUGAAUGAGUAAAAACCAACAGAUCAAGAUACUGUUAAACCAAAAAAAGAAUAAAAAAAAAAAAAAUACACUGGAAUUUUAAGGUAUUUUUGGAAUGUCAAUGAAAUGUUUACAAAGUUAUGCGAGAACGUGAAUUAACACUGGAUAUAGCUCAAAAUUCAUAUUUUUACUUUAAACAAUACAUUUUUAUUCCAGCA